rnacentral:rRNA from 1 species
UACGAAGGGGGCUAGCGUUGCUCGGAAUCACUGGGCGUAAAGCGCACGUAGGCGGCUUCUCAAGUCAGGGGUGAAAUCCUGGAGCUCAACUCCAGAACUGCCUUCGAUACUGGGAGUCUCGAGUUCGGGAGAGGUGAGUGGAACUGCGAGUGUAGAGGUGAAAUUCGUAGAUAUUCGCAAGAACACCAGUGGCGAAGGCGGCUCACUGGCCCGAUACUGACGCUGAGGUGCGAAAGCGUGGGGAGCAAACAGG